rnacentral:tRNA from 1 species
GCCCGAGUGGUGGAAUUGGUAGACACGCAAGACUUAAAAUCUUGUGACCAUCAGGUCGUGCGGGUUCAAGUCCCGCCUCGGGUA